CCUUGAUUUAAGGUGUAGCCUGCCCCAUGAUAAAUGGCCGCGGUACUCUGACCGUGCUAAGGUAGCAUAAUCAAUUGACUUUUAAAUGAAGUCUGGAAUGAAUGGCUGGGGGUAAGCUGUCUCUAUCCCAAUAUAUUGAAGUUACUUUUUAGGUGAAAAAGCCUAAUGUCAGCAAAAAGACGAGAAGACCCUAGGAGUUUAAUUUUGUUGGGGCGACAAGGGACUCCUUUUAAAAACUAGCUAACACGUCGAAGAUUUAAGAAAGGGUAAACUACCCUAGGGAUAACAGCAUUAUUUAAGUUUGUGACCUCGAUGUUGGACUAGGGUAGGCGUAGGCGAGUUGCUUACGUUGUAGGUUCUGUUCGAACUUUGACCC
rnacentral:rRNA from 1 species